rnacentral:rRNA from 1 species
GAUGAACGCUGGCGGCGUGCCUAAUACAUGCAAGUCGAGCGAACGGACGCGAAGCUUGCUUUUCUGAUGUUAGCGGCGGACGGGUGAGUAACACGUGGAUAACCUACCUAUAAGACUGGGAUAACUUCGGGAAACCGGCGCUAAUACCGGAUAAUCUUUUGAACCGCAUGGUUCAAAAGUGAAAGACGGUCUUGCUGUCACUUAUAGCUGGAUCCGCGCUGCAUUAGCUAGUUGGUAAGGUAACGGCUUACGAAGGCAACGAUGCAUAGCCGACCUGAGAGGGUGAUCGGCCACACUAGAGCGGAGCCACGGUCCAGACGCCUGCGGGAGGCAGCAGUAGGGAAUCUUCCGCAAUGGUCGAAAGCAUGACGGAGCGAGGCCGCGUGAGAGAUGAAGGUCUUCGGAUCGUAAAACUCUGUUAUUAGGGAAGAACAGAUGUGGAAGUAACUGUGCACAGCUUGACGGUACCUAAUCAGAAAGCCACGGCUAACUACGUG